GAUGGACGCUGGCGGCGUGCCUAAUACAUGCAAGUCGAGCGAACAGACGAGGAGCUUGCUCCUCUGACGUUAGCGGCGGACGGGUGAGUAACACGUGGAUAACCUACCUAUAAGACUGGGAUAACUUCGGGAAACCGGAGCUAAUACCGGAUAAUAUAUUGAACCGCAUGGUUCAAUAGUGAAAGACGGUUUUGCUGUCACUUAUAGAUGGAUCCGCGCCGCAUUAGCUAGUUGGUAAGGUAACGGCUUACCAAGGCAACGAUGCGUAGCCGACCUGAGAGGGUGAUCGGCCACACUGGAACUGAGACACGGUCCAGACUCCUACGGGAGGCAGCAGUAGGGAAUCUUCCGCAAUGGGCGAAAGCCUGACGGAGCAACGCCGCGUGAGUGAUGAAGGUCUUCGGAUCGUAAAACUCUGUUAUUAGGGAAGAACAAAUGUGUAAGUAACUAUGCACGUCUUGACGGUACCUAAUCAGAAAGACACGGCUAACUACGUG
rnacentral:rRNA from 1 species